rnacentral:rRNA from 1 species
GACGAACGCUGGCGGCGUGCUUAACACAUGCAAGUCGAACGAUGAAGCCGGAGCUUGCUCUGGUGAAUUAGUGGCGAACGGGUGAGUAACACGUGAGUAACCUGCCCUUGACUCUGGGAUAACUGCUAGAAAUGGUAGCUAAUACCGGAUACGACCCUCGGCGGCAUCGCCAGGGGGUGGAAAGAAUUUCGGUCAAGGAUGGACUCGCGGCCUAUCAGCUAGUUGGUGAGGUAACGGCUCACCAAGGCGACGACGGGUAGCCGGCCUGAGAGGGUGACCGGCCACACUGGGACUGAGACACGGCCCAGACUCCUACGGGAGGCAGCAGUGGGGAAUAUUGCACAAUGGGCGCAAGCCUGAUGCAGCAACGCCGCGUGAGGGAUGACGGCCUUCGGGUUGUAAACCUCUUUUAGUAGGGAAGAAGCGAAAGUGACGGUACCUGCAGAAAAAGCACCGGCUAACUACGUGCCAGCCGCCGCAGUAA